UACGAAGGGGGCUAGCGUUACUCGGAUUGACUGGGCGUAAAGAGCUCGUAGGCGGUUUGUCGCGUCUGCCGUGAAAGUCCGGGGCUCAACUCCGGAUCUGCGGUGGGUACGGGCAGACUAGAGUGAUGUAGGGGAGACUGGAAUUCCUGGUGUAGCGGUGAAAUGCGCAGAUAUCAGGAGGAACACCGAUGGCGAAGGCAGGUCUCUGGGCAUUAACUGACGCUGAGGAGCGAAAGCAUGGGGAGCGAACAGG
rnacentral:rRNA from 1 species